AAUUAAGAGACGCAGUCUGCUGAGAAUUGAAAAGAAGUAGAAGAAGCAGCCCCGUUAACCUCGUGAAGCGGGAACUGACAACUCACCGCUAUGGACUGGGCUCAGAGUGAGCUGCCAUCUCCGGUGGUUCGAGACGACGAGGUAACGGUUGCUGCCCGCAGGAGGAGAAAGAAAGUGGCCUGUAUCCUGCUGCAGAAAGACUUUGAUCUGAUUCCUGUCCAGCCCCUACACCAACCCACUCAACCCAGCAGCUGCUGAUGGGUCUUUUAAUAAAGGGGAAAGUUGGAAAUGUAGCUGCAAGCUUUAUGGUACAUUCACCUUUCUAAAAUGGGACCAGGAACCUGUAACCCUACGAUUUAAACUGUGAUUUGUCCCCUCUUGUCCAUUUUAGAUGGUGGAGUCUCAGAAUUGGAGGGCUUUAUAACCUAGUUCAAUUAAUGUUGGUUGGUUUGGAGUGCUUCAUUUGGUGGAGCUUCCACACAAACGCAUAAACACAGUCCAGGUGGGACAUGGUGUAUGGGUUGGAUUAUAAAUGAGCUCCCGUUGGUGUGUUAUUGUAUGGUGCAGAAAUUGCUGUGAUUAUUGAGUCAUGGUUAAGAUCUGUAGUAUGAAGCAAGUGCAACAAAUCCUAAAAUCCCAGCAAGAGAUUCUGGGUAUCAGCUUUUAAAACUAACUUUUCCUUUUAUUUUUAUUCAGCAUCCCAGAGUCUGUGUCCUCUCUUCCCAAAAAUAACACUUCUGAAUACCAUCUAUACAUACCCACAGUGGUAGCAGCAGGAUGCCCGCAGUAUGCAGUUUAAUAACAGCUCUCGGGUUUCACUCAUUCCUCAGAGAGUAGAGAUUUAUUUAAACACACUCUUUCCUCUUGUUCAUUCAUCUAAAAUUCCCUCCUGGCACAGCCUUGCUGUGUGUGUGUGUGUGUGUGUGUGUGUGUGUGUGUGUGUGUGUGUGUGUGUAUGUUACAAUUGCAGCUUUAUUGGCACGGUAUGAAUGAGGCACACAUGCAUGUGAGGGGGAAACCCAGGGAUGCUCCACAGUGAGGCCAUUCACAGGAGAACUCCACUUAGGUGUGGUUAUAUUAUAACAUGCUUAUUACAGAUGACAACAGUGUGCUUCUUUACAAUGUCAUUUCUGGACGAUUAAUGAUGAAAAUGCUGCCCCUCCUAAAGAGGGUGUUUAAACCAUUCUGCUCACUUCCAACUCCAUAUUUUACAGUCAUGCAAAGCUACUGCUGUAAAGCUCAAACUCAGUUCAUCCUCUCCCUUUAAACCAACUCUCUUCUCAUUGGCUGCCUCCAAUAAACAGGUUUGAACAGCAGCCUCCAGCAGCAGAUGAAGGUUUGGUGUCCUGAAGGAUCGUUCACAGAGCUCAACUGCAUC